GUGCAUAACCAAACGAUACGGUGUGCUGAUCGUUAGCCAAAGCUAAAGGUGACGCUAAUAAUAAACCUAAAAAAACAAGGAACGAAGACCGUCUUUUCAUUAAAACCACUCCAUUUUUGAUAUAUAAUUAAGGCGGUACCGGAACUUAUGGCACACAAAUAGCAUUUAGAUUAAGAACACCUAAUGCGCUUAUUACCAGUCAUGCCAACUGCGGAGGUAAUAUAACCUGAUAUAUUCGAUAAUGGAUAUGAAAUCAGUCUUACAGAGUUCUUACUUUUUUAUUAAUGGCGGAUUCAUAGUUGCUUCAGACCGAUCCUGGCA
rnacentral:misc_RNA from 1 species